rnacentral:rRNA from 1 species
GGUUAAUAUUCCUGUACCAGCGAAUGACCGUUAAUACCGAUGCGGUGACGCAGAGGGUAAAUCCAAGCAGACUGAUGGAUGUCUGUCUGACUUUGUAGGGGUUAUGUGAGGCAAAUCCUUGCAUUAUAAAUCCCUGAUGAAGGACGGGGACUGUGCAGCGAUGCAUGGGAACUUGGAGGAGCCGUACUGCCAAGAAAGAGCCGCUCAGGGAGGUUAUUUGUUGCUCGUACCGGAAACCGACACAGGUGGACGAGGGUAGUACCCAAAGGCGCACAAGAGAACCCCUGUUAAGGAACUCGGCAAAAUGCACGUGUAACUUCGGGAUAAGCGUGGCCUCAAGUAGGUGAUGGGGAGAAACCGAAGCUGAAAGAGGUUGCAAAAAAGAGGCUCUGGCGACUGUUUACCAAAAACACAGAUCUCUGCUAAGACUUAAGUCUAAGUAUAGGGAUUGAGACCUGCCCGGUGCCAGAAGGUUAAAGAAGGGGGUCAACGGGGUAACCCGUGAAGCUCUUGACUGAAGCCCUGGUAAACGGCGGCUGUAACUAUAACAGUCCUAAGGUAGCGAAAUUCCUUGUCGGGUAAGUUCCGACCUGCAUGAAUGGUAUAACGACUGGAGCGCUGUCUCAACAGGGGACUUGGUGAAAUUGAAGUAUCGGUGCAAAUACCGAUUACCCGCAGCUAGACGGUAAGACCCUGUGAACCUUUACUGUACCCUGGCAUUGUAUUCUGGCACGUUCUGUGUAGGAUAGGUGGGAGGCUAUGAAGCGUGGGCGCCAGCUUGCGUGGAGCCAACCUUGAAAUACCACCCUUAACGUGUCGGACUACUAACGGAUGCUGUGGAAGCAUCUAGACAGUGUCAGGCGGGCAGUUUGACUGGGGCGGUCACCUCCCAAAGUGUAACGGAGGUGUACGAAGGUUCCCUCGAGCUGUAUAGAAAUCAGCUGAAAGAGCGUAAAGGUAUAAGGGAGCUUGACUGCGAGAGAGACAUCUCGAGCAGGGACGAAAGUCGGUCUUAGUGAUCCGGUGGUUUUUGUAUGGAAAAGCCAUCGCUUAACGGACAAAAGGUACUCCGGGGAUAACAGGCUGAUACCGCCCAAGAGUUCACAUCGACGGCGGUGUUUGGCACCUCGAUGUCGGCUCAACUCAUCCUGGGGCUGAAGUAGGUCCCAAGGGUUCGGCUGUUCGCCGAUUAAAGAGUUACGUGAGCUGGGUUCAGAACGUCGUGAGACAGUUCGGUCCCUAUCUACUGUGGGCGCUGGAUAUUUGAGGGGAGCUGUUCCUAGUACGAGAGGAUCGGAAUGGACGUACCUCUGGUGCACCAGUUGUCGUGCCAACGGCACAGCUGGGUAGCUAUGUACGGAAGGGAUAACCACUGAAAGCAUCUAAGUGGGAAGCCUCCCCCAAGAUUAGAUAUCCCUCAAGGUUCCAGGUAGACUACCUGGUUGAUAGGUCGCAGGUGUAAGUACAGUAAUGUAUUCAGCCGAGCGAUACUAAUAAACCGUUUGACUUGCCCCC